rnacentral:lncRNA from 1 species
UAUCUCUACUUUAAAUCACGUAUUUAUAUACCAAUAUAUAAAGUUUUGUUAGUAAUUAACCUCAAAAACUUGAUCUAAUUGUCAAUAAAAAUUUUGAAAUACCUUUUACCAUCCUACUCAAAGUAUAGUGUAAUAUACAAUCAUAAAUCGAGAACGAUAACAAUGUAAAAUGCAUAGAGAAGGUAACCAACUUUUAACGAUACUUCUUCUUUGCAUCAAUCAAGGGGAUUAACUAAUUAUUGAGAACAAUUACAAUGUGAGAAGAGAAUAAAUGUG